UAUUCCCCUAGUAACUGCGAGUGAAGCGGGAAAAGCUCAAAUUUAAAAUCUGGCGGUUAUGCCGUCCGAGUUGUAAUCUGGAGAAGCGUUUUCCGUGUUGGACCGUGUACAAGUCUCUUGGAACAGAGCGUCAUAGAGGGUGAGAAUCCCGUCUUUGACACGGACUACCAAUGCUUUGUGAUACGCUCUCAAAGAGUCGAGUUGUUUGGGAAUGCAGCUCAAAAUGGGUGGUAAAUGCCAUCUAAAGCUAAAUAUUGGCGAGAGACCGAUAGCGAACAAGUACCGUGAGGGAAAGAUGAAAAGCACUUUGGAAAGAGAGUUAAACAGUACGUGAAAUUGUUGAAAGGGAAACGCUUGAAGUCAGUCGCGUUGUCUGGGACUCAGCCUUGCUUCUGCAUGGUGUAUUUCCUGGUUAACGGGCCAACAUCGAUUUUGGUCGGUGGAUAAAGUCGAGAGGAAUGUGGCACCUUCGGGUGUGUUAUAGCCUCUUGUCGGAUGCAUCGACUGGGAUCGAGGAUCGCAGCACGCCUUUUUGGCCGGGGUUCGCCCACGUAACGUGCUUAGGAUGUUGGCAUAAUGGCUUUAAUCGACCCGUCUUGAAACACGGACCAAGGAGUCUAACAUGCCCGCGAGUGUUAGGGUGGAAAACCCUUGCGCGUAAUGAAAGUGAAAGUUGGGACCUCUGUCAUGGGGGGCACCGACGCCCGGCCUUGAACUUCUGUGACGGCGCCGCGGUAGAGCGUGUAUGUUGGGACCCGAAAGAUGGUGAACUAUGCCUGAAUAGGGCGAAGCCAGAGGAAACUCUGGUGGAGGCUCGUAGCGAUUCUGACGUGCAAAUCGAUCGUCAAAUUUGGGUAUAGGGGCGAAAGACUAAU
rnacentral:rRNA from 1 species